UACGUAGGGGGCAAGCGUUGUCCGGAAUCAUUGGGCGUAAAGCGCGCGUAGGCGGCCCGGUAAGUCCGCUGUAAAAGUCCAGGGCUCAACCCUGGAAAGCCGGUGGAUACUGUCGGGCUAGAGUCCGGAAGAGGCGAGUGGAAUUCCUGGUGUAGCGGUGGAAUGCGCAGAUAUCAGGAGGAACACCGAUGGCGAAGGCGGCAUCCUGGACCGGUAUUGACGCUGAGGCGCGAAAGCCAGGGGAGCAAACGGG
rnacentral:rRNA from 1 species